UGAUUCAGCGGCGGACGGGUGAGUAAUGCCUAGGAAUCUGCCUGGUAGUGGGGGACAACGUUUCGAAAGGAACGCUAAUACCGCAUACGUCCUACGGGAGAAAGCAGGGGACCUUCGGGCCUUGCGCUAUCAGAUGAGCCUAGGUCGGAUUAGCUAGUUGGUGAGGUAAUGGCUCACCAAGGCGACGAUCCGUAACUGGUCUGAGAGGAUGAUCAGUCACACUGGAACUGAGACACGGUCCAGACUCCUACGGGAGGCAGCAGUGGGGAAUAUUGGACAAUGGGCGAAAGCCUGAUCCAGCCAUGCCGCGUGUGUGAAGAAGGUCUUCGGAUUGUAAAGCACUUUAAGUUGGGAGGAAGGGCAGUAAGUUAAUACCUUGCUGUUUUGACGUUACCGACAGAAUAAGCACCGGCUAACUCUGUGCCAGCAGCCGCGGUAAUACAGAGGGUGCAAGCGUUAAUCGGAAUUACUGGGCGUAAAGCGCGCGUAGGUGGUUCGUUAAGUUGGAUGUGAAAUCCCCGGGCUCAACCUGGGAACUGCAUCCAAAACUGGCGAGCUAGAGUAUGGUAGAGGGUGGUGGAAUUUCCUGUGUAGCGGUGAAAUGCGUAGAUAUAGGAAGGAACACCAGU
rnacentral:rRNA from 1 species